UGACAGUCAUGGCUUGUUUUCCCCAU
rnacentral:piRNA from 1 species